GAAAAUGGUCCCCACAACGUCAAAAUAACAGGUUUUUAUAACAUAGUGGGAAGACACACACACACACAGACCUAUACUGGUUUGUAAUACUUUAUUAUACUUUUUGUAGUGUAAAAUUGCAAAGAGACAAUAAUAUCAUUGCAUAUCACCAUAUAAUAUAUCUUGAUAUAUUUAUCCUUCAUACAGAACCUACAUCUAUAUGCUUAUCUGUUUAUCCAUAUAAUUUGUUCUACCUUGUCAUCAUAUUGACCAUUUUCCUGGCAGUCAUUGUUAAGCUAACAGAUCAUUGGUCAAUGCUAAUAGUUUUAUGACGGUGCUAUUAUCACUGCAGCAAGAGCAGCUUGGCACUGUGACGUCACGGGCAGCAGGUCAGUGCCGUCAUGCACUGGGAGCUCAGUGCUGCUGGCUGCUGUCCCCACUGGGCUGCACUUUCGGGGACAAAAACCAAUAGCUAAUUAUCAGCUAAAUGCUAAUAGCUACUUGGCUAAUGUUUUUAUUACUCUGGGUCUUGACUUUGAAUGUGCUUGGCCUCUGCAGCCUGGAGCCCCCCAGUGCUUACGUACCUGCCCCCCCUCCAGUCACUGGGCCGGCUGGAGGUGACAGGCAGCGUGCAGGACCCACCACAGGGAACCAACUGGGCUGACUACUGUGAGGCACCCCCCCCCCCAAGGCUCGGCAAGAUCACAGGAGCAGAGGAUCCAACCAUCCAUCUGGCUGGGAGGAGAUACACAGAGCAGAGGGUAUAAAACACCCCCCCACACACACACAAAGGUGCUGCCCUGUUGGGAAAAGCCCCUAUCCUGGUCACUCGCUCGGAAACUCCAGCUUCCUGUAAACUAUCCGCUUCACAGGGAACGUGUAUCUGGAUGAAGCAGGCGGUGGGACUGAAGCUGGAGAUGCAGGGGAGAUGGAGAGAUUAAAUCUACGUGAAGCUCUCUCUUUCUGGCUGUACUAUGACUGGAUCACCUUGGGGGCUUUCAGUCAGGGAUCAUUGAAAAAAAAAAAAACGCAUUUUCAAUCCCCCCCCGCCCACACACACACACACACACACACACACACACCUUAUUUACAGACCGGCUAUGUGAGCGUCAGCACACAUCACUCUGCCCCACCAGCAGAAGGGCUCUGACAUCCCUGGAAAUUCGAAAGAAGCCCAGUGACCUCUAGGGGGCGCCACACAAGCACAGCCCUGCCCUCUGGGGAUGGAAAUACUUUUGUUUUCUCUGAGGGUUGCUUAAGUAAACAGAUCUAAUUUUGUUUAUCGGACUUUCUGGCUGACAGCAUUGAAUAAAAAUAGUUUCAUUUUAGCAAACAGCCACAGUAUUGUGGGGUCACACACAGUGCAUUAGGGUUACACACGGCACACUGAAGUAAUGCACAGCACACUGGGGUCACAUACAGUGCGCUAGAAUCACACACAACAUGCUAGGGUCACAUACAACAUGCACGCACUUUACUGAGACAUACUGGAUGGCUGAAAUACAAAGAGAUGACAGAUCUGCUUCUCGCUUUGCUGAAAUGGUUUUAUUCCACAGUCAGUGUCCUGCACUUCUCACAACACCUAGAAAGCAGCAAGCCAGGCUGGUCCUCACACAGUGGAGGUGGCACAGUAACACAGUUUGAAAUGCAAGGGAUCAUUUAGAAAAUACUGCCUCCAGCAAGACCAAACAAGGUCUCCACCUCUCUGACACCCAUGGAGACGGUGUCCCAAAACUGACCUACUUUUUAUAUAGAAUAUUUACCAGUGAAAAAUAUAUUCUCAAAUAAAUAAUGAUCUAAAAUAAAUAUAUGUCAAAAAUGCAUAAAUAAAGUCAUUUGAAAUGGUA